UACGUAGGGUGCAAGCGUUGUCCGGAAUUAUUGGGCGUAAAGAGCUCGUAGGCGGUUUGUUGCGUCGGCUGUGAAAUCCCGAGGCUCAACCUCGGGUCUGCAGUCGAUACGGGCAAACUAGAGUGUUGCAGGGGAGACUGGAAUUCCUGGUGUAGCGGUGAAAUGCGCAGAUAUCAGGAGGAACACCGGUGACGAAGGCGGGUCUCUGGGCAACAACUGACGCUGAGGAGCGAAAGCGUGGGGAGCGAACAGG
rnacentral:rRNA from 1 species